rnacentral:rRNA from 1 species
UACGUAGGGUGCAAGCGUUGUCCGGAAUUAUUUGGGCGUAAAGAGCUCGUAGGCGGUCUGUCGCGUCGGCUGUGAAAAACUCGGGGGCUCAACCCCGAGCCUGCAGUCGAUACGGGCAGACUAGAGUGCUGUAGGGGAGACUGGAAUUCCUGGUGUAGCGGUGAAAUGCGCAGAUAUCAGGAGGAACACCGGUGGCGAAGGCGGGUCUCUGGGCAGUGAACUG